UACAGAGGUCUCAAGCGUUGUUCGGAUUCAUUGGGCGUAAAGGGUGCGUAGGUGGCGAGGCAAGUCGGAUGUGAAAUCCCGGGGCUUAACCCCGGAACUGCAUUCGAUACUGCCUUGCUCGAGUACUGGAGAGGAGACUGGAAUUUACGGUGUAGCAGUGAAAUGCGUAGAUAUCGUAAGGAAGACCAGUGGCGAAGGCGAGUCUCUGGACAGUUACUGACACUGAGGCACGAAAGCGUGGGGAGCAAACAGG
rnacentral:rRNA from 1 species